UAGGGAAUCUUCCACAAUGGGCGAAAGCCUGAUGGAGCAACGCCGCGUGUGUGAUGAAGGGUUUCGGCUCGUAAAACACUGUUGUAAGAGAAGAAUGACAUUGAGAGUAACUGUUCAAUGUGUGACGGUAUCUUACGAGAAAGGAACGGCUAAAUACGUGCCAC
rnacentral:rRNA from 1 species